rnacentral:rRNA from 1 species
UUCGUAGGCGGUGUGGCAAGUCGGGAGUGAAAUCUCUGGGCUCAACCCAGAGUCUGCUUCCGAAACUGCUGUGCUUGAGUGUGGGAGAGGCGCGUGGAAUUGCAGGUGUAGCGGUGAAAUGCGUAGAUAUCUGCAGGAACACCCGUGGCGAAAGCGGCGCGCUGGACCACUACUGACGCUGAGGAACAAAGCUAGGGGAGCAAACA